AACGAACGCUGGCGGCAUGCCUAACACAUGCAAGUCGAACGAGACCUUCGGGUCUAGUGGCGCACGGGUGCGUAACGCGUGGGAACCUGCCCUUAGGUUUGGAAUAACUCCCCGAAAGGGGUGCUAAUACCGGAUAAUGUCUUCGGACCAAAGAUUUAUCGCCUUUGGAUGGGCCCGCGUUGGAUUAGCUAGUUGGUAGGGUAAAAGCCUACCAAGGCGACGAUCCAUAGCUGGGCAGAGAGGAUGAUCAGCCACACUGGGACUGAGACACGGCCCAGAAUCCUACGGGAGGCAGCAGUGGGGAAUAUUGGACAAUGGGCGAAAGCCUGAUCCAGCAAUGCCGCGUGAGUGAUGAAGGCAUUAGGGUUGUAAAGCUCUUUUACCCGGGAUGAUAAUGACAGUACCGGGAGAAUAAGCUCCGGCUAACUCCGUG
rnacentral:rRNA from 1 species